rnacentral:rRNA from 1 species
AUACAGAGGGUGCGAGCGUUAAUCGGAAUUACUGGGCGUAAAGCGCACGUAGGCGGUUACGUAAGUCGGAUGUGAAAGCCCCGGGCUUAACCUGGGAAUUGCAUUCGAAACUGCGUAGCUAGAGUCUGAUAGAGGGAAGUGGAAUUUCCGGUGUAGCGGUGAAAUGCGUAGAUAUCGGAAGGAACAUCAGUGGCGAAGGCGGCUUCCUGGAUCAAGACUGACGCUCAGGUGCGAAAGCGUGGGGAGCAAACAGGAUUAGAUACCCCAGUAGUCC